GGCCUCCUGGUGUUUACCACGGGCUGUGUUCUUACACUGACAGUUUAGAAAAAGGAGGGAAAGUAAAUCUACCCCAUAUACAUGUUGGACCAGACUAUGUUCCUGGCCUGCAUUGUGAAUGGGGAGACAUGG
rnacentral:snoRNA from 1 species